rnacentral:rRNA from 1 species
AGGACGAACGCUGGCGGCGUGGAUUAGGCAUGCAAGUCGAGCGACGGACCUUCGGGUUACGGAGCGGCGAACGGGUGAGUAACACGUGAACAACCUGCCCUCACAUUCCGGAUAAUUGGCCGAAAGGCCUUGUAAUACGGGCGAGGAUGGCGCUGGGGCAUCUCAGUGCUAAGGAACGAGCAAUCGGUGCGAGGAGGGUUCGCGGCUUAUCAGGUAGUUGGUGGGGUAACGGCCUACCAAGCCGACGACGAGUAGC